GAUGAACGCUAGCUACAGGCUUAACACAUGCAAGUCGAGGGGAAACGAUAUUGGAAGCUUGCUUCCGAUAGGCGUCGACCGGCGCACGGGUGAGUAACGCGUAUCCAACCUGCCUAUCACUUGGGGAUAACCUUGCGAAAGUAAGACUAAUUCCCAAUGAUAUCCGUCGAAGACAUCUGAAGUGGAUUAAAGAUUUAUCGGUGAUGGAUGGGGAUGCGUCUGAUUAGCUUGUUGGCGGGGUAACGGCCCACCAAGGCGACGAUCAGUAGGGGUGAUGAGAGGAAGGUCCCCCACAUUGGAACUGAGACACGGUCCAAACUCCUACGGGAGGCAGCAGUGAGGAAUAUUGGUCAAUGGACGAGAGUCUGAACCAGCCAAGUAGCGUGCAGGAUGACGGCCCUAUGGGUUGUAAACUGCUUUUAUAAGGGAAUAAAGUGAGUCUCGUGAGACUUUUUGCAUGUACCUUAUGAAUAAGGACCGGCUAAUUCCGUGCCAGCCGCCGCCGUAA
rnacentral:rRNA from 1 species